rnacentral:rRNA from 1 species
GAACCUUACCAGGGAUUGAACUGCCAAGAAAGAUCCAGAGAUGGGUCUGUGCCCGAAAGGGAACUUGGACAGAGGUGGUGCACGGCUGUCGUCAGCUCGUGAUGCGAAUUGUCAGGUUAAGUCCUUGAACGAGCGUAACCCUUGUUUUCAGUUGCCCGAAAGGGAACUCUGGAAAAACUGCCGAUGUAAAUCGGAGGAAGGAGAGGAUGACGUCAAGUCAGCAUGCCCCUUAUAUCCUGGGCUACACACGUAAUACAAUGGUCGAGACAGCGAGACGCUACCCCGUAAGGGCACGCUAAUCUCUCAAACUCGGCCUCAAUUCGAAUUGUGUUCUGCAACUCGAACACAUGAAGCCGGAAUCUCUAGUAAUCGCCAAUCAGCUAUGUGGCGGUGAAUACGUUCCCUGGCCUUGUACACACCGCCCGUCAAAUGGAGGGAGUGAGCUUCGCUCGAAGCCGUUCAGACUAACCCACAAGGAUGUCAACGUCUACAGCGCGGCUUGUGACUUCUAUUAAGUCGUAACAAGGUAACC